AUACGUAGGUGACAAGCGUUAUCCGGAUUUACUGGGUGUAAAGGGCGUGUAGGCGGUCUUGCAAGUCAGAAGUGAAAUUCCUGAGCUCAACUCGGGCGCUGCUUCUGAAACUGCAGGACUUGAGUGCUGGAGGGGAUAGCGGAAUUCCUAGUGGAGCGGUAAAAUGCGCAGAUAUUAGGAGGAACACCGGUGGCGAAGGCGGCUAUCUGGACAGUAACUGACGCUGAGGCGCGAAAGCACGGGGAGCAAACAGGAUUAGAUACCCUGGUAGUCCGUGCCGUAAACGAUGAAUACUAGGUGUAGGGGGUAUCGACUCCCUCUGUGCCGCAGUUAACACAUUAAGUAUUCCACCUGGGGAGUACGGCCGCAAGGUUGAAACUCAAAUGAAUUGACGGGG
rnacentral:rRNA from 1 species